AUAAUCACUUGCCUUUUAAUUGGAGGCUAGAAUGAAAGUACCGACGGGAAAGAACUGACUCAGCUCUACCUUAUGAACCUUAAAUUGGGAGUAAAAAUGCCCCAUUGAUUUAGAAGGACGACAAGACCCUAUAAAACUUUACCACCUUGCACUGACCUAAAAUAGGAAUAUUUUAAGGGCUUAGUGGUUAGCUGGGGCGGCCAACCCCCUCCGGGGGGUAAUUUAACACAGUGUGUGAUCCCAAGAACCUAAUUAAAUAGUAAGACCAAGUUACUUUAGGGAUAACAGCGUAAUUGCCUCGUAGAGCCCCAAUCGAUGAGGCCGCUUACGACCUCGAUGUUGAAUUGGGAAACCCCUUGAGAGCAGCCCCCCAAGAGGGAAGUCUGUUCGACUUUUAAUUCCCCACGUGAU
rnacentral:rRNA from 1 species